rnacentral:rRNA from 3 species
GUGGGUAGUUUGACUGGGGCGGUCUCCUCCCAAAGAGUAACGGAGGAGCACGAAGGUUGGCUAAUCCUGGUCGGACAUCAGGAGGUUAGUGCAAUGGCAUAAGCCAGCUUGACUGCGAGCGUGACGGCGCGAGCAGGUGCGAAAGCAGGUCAUAGUGAUCCGGUGGUUCUGAAUGGAAGGGCCAUCGCUCAACGGAUAAAAGGUACUCCGGGGAUAACAGGCUGAUACCGCCCAAGAGUUCAUAUCGACGGCGGUGUUUGGCACCUCGAUGUCGGCUCAUCACAUCCUGGGGCUGAAGUAGGUCCCAAGGGUAUGGCUGUUCGCCAUUUAAAGUGGUACGCGAGCUGGGUUUAGAACGUCGUGAGACAGUUCGGUCCCUAUCUGCCGUGGGCGCUGGAGAAUUGAGGGGGGCUGCUCCUAGUACGAGAGGACCGGAGUGGACGCAUCACUGGUGUUCGGGUUGUCAUGCCAAUGGCACUGCCCGGUAGCUAAAUGCGGAAGAGAUAAGUGCUGAAAGCAUCUAAGCACGAAACUUGCCCCGAGAUGAGUUCUCCCUGAGACUU